AAUUUAUUAUUAUAUGUAAUAUGUCCUUAUAUUUUUUUUCUUUUUCUUUAAAGCCCAUUUAGGACCUAAGAGUCAGUUUUCCAUGGAAAAAAACAUUGGACUAGGAGUCAAGAAUAACUAGCUCUUCACUGACUUGGUGUGAAAGUCAUCCUACCUCCCUGGAUCUCAGUUGCCUCAUCUGUAAAAAAGAAGAUAAAAAUUCUUUACCUGUCUGAAGAUAGAUUAUCAGUGCAUCCUGUUUGGGUCCGUCUACUGUUUCACCACAUCCAGCUCAGUCAUAGCUCUGGUCAUAGCUUUCUUACCGAAGAAGUGUGUGAUAAAGGAAAGUAGAAGCCCAUUUUCCUGACCUGAUAUUGGAGAAAAGGUAGGUUAGUCUUCACUUCUUCCCUUUGACUCCCUUACCUUCCAUCUCUUUCUUUUGUAAGAAUAUUUAUGUA
rnacentral:lncRNA from 1 species